CAUCUUUCAUUAGCUGGAGAAAAGUGGGAAAUCAGGGUUAACAGCACACUGGGACAGCACAAAGGGGGACAGCCCAUUCGAUGGAGUGGAGAUACUCAUCCAAACCUGACAGCUGCUUGAAAGGCACUGUUCAGUAAAGACAGCUGGGUGGAGAAUGCAAAAUCAAGCAGGAAAGGGCUGGAGCUUGGGAGGGGAGAAGUGGAAAAUGCUUUAACUAAUCCCAGCUUCACCACUGGCUGUCUGUGGGAUAUUGGUCUUUGCCCUCAGAUCAAGCCCCGGGAGAAGGGGGAGCCUGGAAGGAGGCCUCAGAUGUCUGCACAACUUGUAUAUGCUGUGAAAGGAACCCUGAUGAAAGGUUAGGGCAGUGGGAUGGACGAUACCCAGUGAAAGGCAUGCGCAGCACGUCUGAUUGCUUUUUGCUGUGGAAUCCUUAUUUCCAGGGAAUCCAAUCCUUCUUGUGAUGGCCAGGAAAGGUGUUUGUGAGGGGAAGGCUAGUGCCUGUUAACCUCUUCAGUGCUGGGUUCUCCAGUGCUGUCACCUGCAGUGUGGGGGAGCCUAAAGACUGAGACCAGGCAGUCUGUAUCCAUCUGUACUUUGUAUGAGAGGAUUCCUUCUCAUCUGACAGGCGUGAUAGAAACACAAAAACAGAGAAGUGAGAUCUCUCACCUGUUAAACAGAAUCCAGACUGUGUGAUUUCUUAGCAAUGAAUUGAUAAACUUCUAACACGCUAGUUUUCCCAUUGGGGUUGGCUGCAUA
rnacentral:lncRNA from 1 species